UACGGCGGGUGCAACCGUUAUCCGGAAUCACUGGGUUUAAAGGGUGCGUAGGCGGCUUAGUGAGUCAGGAGUGAAAGCCUGCGGCUUAACCGUAGAAAUGCUUUUGAUACUGCUGAGCUUGAAUUAGGUUGAGGUUGGCGGAAUGUGACAUGUAGCGGUGAAAUGCAUAGAUAUGUCAUAGAACACCAAUUGCGAAGGCAGCUGACUAGACCUUAAUUGACGCUGAGGCGCGAAAGCGUGGGGAGCGAACAGG
rnacentral:rRNA from 1 species